CCGAGUUCAUGCCCUUACGGGUAGAUCUCCCACCCUAUGUUAUAUUACCUUUGUUGCUUUGGCAGGCCGUCAGGCCCCGGUCAGGCUACCGGCUCCGGCUGGUAAGCGCCUGCCAGAGGACCCUAAACUCUGAAUAUUGGUGUUGUCUGAGUACUAUAAAAUAGUUA
rnacentral:misc_RNA from 1 species